rnacentral:piRNA from 1 species
UGGAUCUUUAAAUGACUAGAAUUUCACGUG